UACUUUCUGUUCUGUUUGGUCACGAUUUCCUUGCCUUUAGGAGACAGAGAUGGUCCAGAGGAGCAAAAACAAAACAGAUCUGCCGUAAAGUCAGCUGUCUGUCGUAAAGUUAACGCUCGUCUCCACAGAUGUUGACCCAGAAGAUGAUGAUGAACAAUCUUCCCAUUGCGGGAAACAUGUACAGGGAGGAAAAAGGGUCAAUCAUGAAUGCCACUUGUCGCUGCAGGACAUUGAAACUGACAUGUUUGGCAAAGAUGACGAUCAACGAUGACGAUGUCGUUUCAGAAGAGGGCCAAGUGAGUGUGGCAGUCGCGAGACAGCGGAGGGGAGGGUGAAGCGGUACAAGCAGAGGGACAGUGGCAGCCACCUAUUGCAGGCUUCUAUAAGUGUCUACAGGGCCCAUAAGUACAGAAGACGGAAAAAAACACGGUGGUGGUGAAGAAAACGGCUCAACCACGAAAUUGGAGAAUACAUGAAAGGUAUUGUGAUGGGAAGCACUGAAUAUGAACUCAGAGAAGGCCGUUCAGCUGGUCCCAGUAUCACUUCCCACGUUCAGCCUUUCAUCAUAGAAGCUUUUCUCAGGGUCCUUUGCACUGAUCGCCUGCAGUGGAAAAAGUGAUGUCAUUUGCCGUGGGCGAAAUAAGAGAAACAAAUAAAAGCAAAGGUGACCGCUCAAACGCUUCCCACACGACGGUUGGAAAUCGAAACACAAAUCAUGACGAGUACGAAGUUUAAUCAAACAGCAGCACAGUGGAGGAUGAUGGGAAGUCGAGACGAGUGCCAGCGUUGUGGUCGGUAAUUCCUGCCAUUUUCCAAAUUCAUCAUGAUGUUUCACCUACAAGCUGCUAAACAUUACAGUUUAAUGUUGUGUUUUUGUUAAGGAAACAGGGACCAGCUUGUACAACGCUAAGUAUCAUCUAUAGAAGUGUUGCAUCGCUGUCUGUGUUACGUGCUACUCGUUUUCAGUCUCAUUUGGUCAAAGACUGAUGUCUCGCUUCUGUGAAAUGCUGCAUUAUUUCCCCAGAACGUGUCCAAGCUGCAGUCAGAGAAGCUUCCAGCUAUUUGCGCCUGUAAACACUGAUCCUAUCGCAUGCGUGAGGCAGAGGCUCCCUUUCACUGCGUCUCGGCCCUGAAUUCCAGCCUGCAUCUCCAUGCGGUGCUCAGCGAUGCGCAGGAGGCGGACUCUCGCGUAAACACUCGCCGCCUGUGGUACACAAAGUCGAGCACAGAAAGGUGCACUGUACACAGUGCAGGGUUAUUUACGCAUCAGCUGUCAUAAAUACUGGCCGAGAGACGCAGGUGUAACACACACACACACACACACACACACACACACACACACACACACACACACACACACACACACACACACACACACACAGAUACGUGUAUACAAACAGAAACACGCAAGUGAGAGAUCCAAAGACCUGAUGUGACAAACAAAUUCAGGCCAAAUAUAUGAGAAAAAUGCAGUCACGGUUUGAGGCAAGACUUCCAUAAACGACCGGGUACUCUCAGAUUUGUCAAUCUGAAAUAUUCUGUUCUGGUUCUGAGCCAAAUGCACCACCAUCGUGAGCUGUCACCUGAAAGCAGCCAUUGCAUCCUGAGAUACAACUCACAUCAGCUUAAAGGUCAUCGCAUAAACUCGAAGAACUGAGCUGAGACGUUCACGUUAAAGAUUAGGCCAAAGCGAGUGGGGUGAUUCAAUGAGGACGGAGGAAAAAAAAUGUGCCGUGAAGCGAGCGACUCAAAGUCUGUGUGUGGUAUUCAUGCCCUCCUUUCCCUUUUACAAAGAAAGAAUGGGCGGAAUCAGAGGGGAUCAGAAGAAAGAGAAAGACAGGGACCGAGAGGUCGGGAGGAAAAAUGGGAACGACAAAGGGGGAAACAACGGAAGAAAAAGCAAGUUGAUGGAAGAAGAGAGACAGAAAAAAAAGAGAAAAAGAGCGAGCCGUGUUGAACGGCACUAUGCUUGAGCAGUCCCAUUGACUGACAAGAGAAGGACUGGAGGCCUAUUGUGGAAAUCCCAUUCCUCACUGUAUUGUCUGACCUUAUCACGGCGGGGUCAGUGGGAACAAUGGGAAUAACUCCCAUAAGUUUUCGUUUGGUCGUAGUCUUGUAGGUGUUGAUCAGUCACAAAAAACAAUUCAAAAUAAUUGCUUAUUUAUUUGGAUUCAGACAGCAGCAUCACUGACUCGCUUGCAGCUUGUCUGUUUAGUCUUAGUUUGUCAUACGGGUCAGAGGAUGCACACUAAUACAGAAACGGUGAUUUCCACCUGUGCAAUGGAAAGAAAGCGCCUCCUCAUGGGUCACCAGACGUUUCUUAUUCAUUAUCAGCUAAAGCCCAACAAAGCUCCGGCUCCGGCUCUCCAGCGGCCCCUCCGCUACCUCUCGCGCCUCUCUUCACGGAGAACAGAGCGGGGAAUCAAUCAGUUGCUGAAAAGGUUACGGUCUGAGCGAGGCCCGCAGCUCCUGCGUCUGCCGGGGGCACCUGAAGAGGGCCCAGCAUUUACUGGCAAAGCAAAGAGAGGUGGAAAAAACAUCAACAGGCCGCCCGAGGGCCGCGGGGUCCGUGCUGAGUGGUGGUGUAGGGCCCUUGGGGAGUUUGUCUUGUAAUUGAGUCAAUUGUUGACCCCCCGUUCAGCCCUGCUCGGGAGGAAAAGCCUGUCGAAUAAUUAACGUCCCCCUAUCCCUCUCUCCGUCUUCCCCUUCAACUAUCCAUCUCCCACUCCUCUUCACUUUCCCCCUCUCCUUCCUUGUUUUCUGUUGUCUCGCGGGAUAAUUGUACCGUGAGUCAAAGGCAGUCAUUUAGGGAGGGGGCACUGUUCAGGGAUCUGCUGAGGCUUACAAUCUUCUUUUCACCCAAAUCUUUCUUACCCUCCCAACACUCACCCUCGCUUCUCUCCUGCAUUCUCCCCCUUUUUCAUUCCUCCUUUUGUUUGCACCGUGGGAUGAAUUUUAAUCACUCCUCUCUCAAACUCGGAUCUGUGAUUCUUUUUCUCUCUUUCCCCCAAUAUGGCCACUCAAUCCCUCGUUCCAACUCGCAUUCAGGCCCAUUCGCUCCUCGCCAGUCCUCCACCGAUCGGGCCCUCGAAGCAUCUAGCAAGACACGGACACAGAUUUAGCUAUUUGAUGACGAGAGGAAGGGAGCGUUUGUCACUCCAGGUUUAGCCCCGGCCAAAUGUCUUCAACAGACGCGGGGCCAGAUGAGAAUUUAGAGAGAGAGGAAGGGAAAAAGGGCA